AUACCUACCCACGUUCACCCCCCCUACCUCCUUUUUCUUCCUCUUUUCUUCUCUUCCCCACCGAAGCUUGCAACCCCUUUCUCUUCUUCUUAUCUUCUCUUCUCCAAUAGCAACAAGCAACAAGCUUCCCCUUCCUUGCUAUCCUGCUUCUCGGCAGCAUCAUCGGAGCUCGUUUGAGUUUGCCGGAGCUCGCAGGACGACUAGCUAGGAGGGGAAAGCAAAGCCCUAGUUGCUGCCCUAUUUUCUAACCAAGCAUAACAGCCGUCGAAGCUAAUCGUGGCCUUUGCCGGAGCUUGCCGAGACAACUGAUGAAAAGGAAAAGCCAAGAGCAGCAACCUUAGUUGCUCUCUCCUUUUUCCCCCACCAACAACAACAUUUCGUUGCCUUUUGUUUCUCCAACAGCAGCCCUAGCUAUUGUCCUUUUCUUGGAAACACCGCCAGAGUUCGCUGGAGCUAGCCAGAGCUAGCUAAGACGGCUAGCGACGAAGGGAAAACAACCUUAGUUGCCGCCCUCUUUUUCCAGUAACCACAGUAACCACAGUAACCCAUAGAAGCACUUACUGAGGGUUGGAGGGUAUGUGACAUGCAUCUUCCUCAGGAUUGGAGGAUUCAAAGAUAUGAGAGAAAUACAUGGAAGAAGCCGUGAUGAUAGGCAGAAAAGAGAACAAUUACGCCAAGAGAAGGAAAUGUCCAAGUUUGCAUAAAUGGCAGAUGCACAUAGACAACGCCAACAAUAGCAACAACAACAACAACAUGAAGGUUUUGGGACCUCCUGCGAUGUUAGUGCACCCAAGGUUUCUUCAACAGUACUACAACAAGAUCAGUGACAAGAUAUGAAAUUUGGCUUUUUUAAGCAAGGCAAUGCCAAGAUACACAGUGGUAGGUGUUUUGUCCCAGUCUCAAGCUAGCAAUACUUUUUGAGUGUAUCUAGUAGAAGUAAGCAUGCAGAUCGUUCCCUUCGAGACCGGCUAGCUAUUUUGUUCUUUUUUGUUUUAAAUUUGAAUGUCACUAUCUACUUUGAAAUAGAAUUAUUUAGUAUUUGAAAUCAUUAACUGAAUUCUACUUUGUAGCUGAAUUCUCUUGUAAAUAUUAAUAUUUACUUUGUAGCUGAA